UCUUCUCUACUAGAAAGUGUAGAUAAAUAGCAUAUAUAGCGUUAUUGAUUCAACGAAAUUUCUUUAACACUCCGUUACAUAUACUUAAUGCAACAUUAGUUUCGGUAUUCCACACCUUAUUAAAAUAAGUUGCGGCAAUAACAAUAAUUAGUCAUAUAAUUAUUUUUGGUAUAUAUACUAGUAUUAUCAAGUAAGAAAGUCUAUGUUAGUUAACUCACUGCAGUACACGAACAAUAUGUCGGUUACCAAUGCAACAACUUCGCUUGUAUUCCUUGGAUUCAUAACAAUGCUAUUAAUUGAGCUAUCACUGGGAUUAUCCUGCAAAAUGGAACAGGACCCGAAGACAUGCAUUGAAUAAUAUUGGAUUCUUUAAUAGGUCAAGAACUACUAGCUACUGAUAUGAGUUAGACAAUAAUUAAUAAUUUUCUUGUUGUUCUAUAUCUCUAUAUAUAUUUUACAUUUUCCAUAUCGAAUUCCAAUUUUAUUGAAGCACUAAUUCUAUAUAAAUGAAUUUUCGUAAUCAAACCAAAUAAAAUCAAACCUAUUUGCAAAAGAA